UAGGGAAUAUUGGGCAAUGGAUGCAAGUCUGACCCAGCCAUGCCGCGUGCCGGAAGAAGGCUCUCAGGGUUGUAAACGGCUUUUAUUCGGGAAGAAGAGCAGGGAUUCGUCCUUGUGUGACGGUACCGAAUGAAUAAGCACCGGCUAACUCCGUGCCAGCAGCCGCGGUAAUACGGAGGGUGCGAGCGUUGUCCGGAUUUAUUGGGUUUAAAGGGUGCGUAGGUGGCUUUAUAAGUCAGCGGUGAAAUACAGCCGCUCAACGGUUGAGGUGCCAUUGAUACUGUAAAGCUUGAAACAAUUGGAGGCUGACGGAAUGGAUGGUGUAGCGGUGAAAUACAUAGAUAUCAUCCAGAACACCGAUUGCGAAGGCAGGUGGCUACGUUUGAUUUGACACUGAGGAACGUAAGCAUGGGGAGCAAACA
rnacentral:rRNA from 1 species